AACUUUAUUCUUAUCAGGAACUUAUGAAAAAGGUACAUGAAUCCUUUUAAUUUAAACAUUGCAAAUUAUGUGUUUAUUGGCUUAUGACAUGGCAAAAAGACGCAAAAACUUAAUGAGAACAAUUAACACCCUUAAUGGAAUAACAACUAAAAUCCUCACGACUGCAAUUUUAAGUGAGCUGAAUGGCUGAAUCAUAUGCAACCCCAGCUCUCCAAUCACCUGGAAUAGCAUUUGUUGCCUGUACCCAUUUGAGCCCUGCACUUCCACUCACUUGGAACCUCAUGGUAAGGUAACCCUUUGGUGGGUUAGCCAUGUCAAAAACUGCUCCAUAGGCCCUUCUCAUGCCUAUCCAUUCCUUGCAAUCUUCCUGCCAUAUUUCAACGGCUACAAUAUCAUUUUGGCCUCCUUGGUAGAGAAUAACAAUGGCCAAGUAAUCAGGAAACCUGCUAUGCUCAUGGAUCUUGAACAUGAUGUUGUAACCGGCGUACCGGCAAGAAAUCCUCCGGUAUUCUACAUUGACGACACCAUAUGCAAAUAAUUCUAAGGCCAUGUUUGGACGUGCCAAUCUUGCAUAAGCACUUGUGCUAAGGAUGAAGUCGGUGUUGUCACCUUCACCAUAGUCAGUCACCACUACAUUCACUCCGUCGUCACUGCAAAGUUGUGGUGCCUUGCACCUAACCUGAUAACAAGCACCACAGCCAGUGCCAUUCUUGUACAACCUGGAAACUCCAGCCACAUUAGCAUCAUUGACCUUCCUUCCAUAUUCUCCAAACCCACAAGCUCCAGUUGGUGUCCCUAAGCAAUCAGGGCUACCAUAGUAAGUUGCCCUAGAGUAUGUGAAGUCUUGGGAGUAACAUAUUGCAGGUAGUAUCACCAAGAAACAGACAAGGCAAUAACCAUAGUUAGACCCCAUAGCUUAAAGGGAAGAAGUAAUAUUAAUAGCAAACUAAGCUGAGGAAGAAGAAAUGAAAAUGAGAAAUGGUACUUAUGGGAUAGGCCCCCGCCAUUCUUGUACAACCUGG
rnacentral:misc_RNA from 1 species